rnacentral:tmRNA from 1 species
GGGGCCGAAAGGUUUCGACAGCAGGAGAGGUUGCUGUGUAAGCAUGCCGAGCGUUGUGAAUAUGGCUCGUUAAUCUCAACUCUCACUCGCUUAAAUGGCGAAAACAACUACGCGCUUGCGGCUUAAUCUCUAAGAGAUCACGCCAAAUUCCAUUCACAAGGUGAGUGGAACAAGCUACCCGGCAAGGGGUUCGGCUCAUUAAUCCUUUGCAAUGGGUAUCAUUCUUUUGAGCUGGCUGUGAUUUAGUCCCGACAUCAUAGCGAGAUAAAGGGAAUAAGGAUGUGAACGGUGUGCAUUUCCCCUAGUCAAAUCCCGACAAUUCAAAAAAUGCUAAGCAUGUAGAAAGCUCACCAGUCCCCAGUCUGGACGAGGGUUCAAAUCCCUCCGGCUCCACCA